rnacentral:RNase_P_RNA from 1 species
CGGCCAAUCGCAGGUCCACUCAACCUCCGUGUUGAGUCAAGGAAAUGAGGAAAGUCCGGGCAACACAGGGCAAUCCGCUUCUUAAUGGGAAGUUAUUCGCAAGAGUAAAGUAGUGCAGAAGAAAACAACCGCCCGCCGCCCCUGCCUUUCUCCGUAAAGGACGACGGCGGGUAAGGGUGAGAAGGCGUGUGUAAGAGACCACCGCCCGCAUGGUGACAUCGCGGGGCGUGCACCUCGGAUGUUGAAAGUUCAAGUAAACCGAUGGCAGAGGGCGGCCCGCCCGAUGUAUCCCGCAUACUCCGUCGGAGGGUAGAACGAUAGAGCUUCACGGUGACGGGAGGCGUAGAUAAAUGAUUGGCAGGCAGCCCCGGCUGCCUACAGAACCCGGCUUAUAGUCCGACUA